rnacentral:rRNA from 1 species
GAUCAUGGCUCAGGAUGAACGCUAGCUACAGGCUUAACACAUGCAAGUCGAGGGGAAACGACAUCGAAAGCUUGCUUUUGAUGGGCGUCGACCGGCGCACGGGUGAGUAACGCGUAUCCAACCUGCCCACCACUUGGGGAUAACCUUGCGAAAGUAAGACUAAUACCCAAUGAUAUCUCUAGAAGACAUCUGAAAGGGAUUAAAGAUUUAUCGGUGAUGGAUGGGGAUGCGUCUGAUUAGCUUGUUGGCGGGGUAACGGCCCACCAAGGCGACGAUCAGUAGGGGUUCUGAGAGGAAGGUCCCCCACAUUGGAACUGAGACACGGUCCAAACUCCUACGGGAGGCAGCAGUGAGGAAUAUUGGUCAAUGGGCGAGAGCCUGAACCAGCCAAGUAGCGUGCAGGAUGACGGCCCUAUGGGUUGUAAACUGCUUUUAUAAGGGAAUAAAGUGGGUCUCGUGAGACUUUUUGCAUGUACCUUAUGAAUAAGGACCGGCUAAUUCCGUG